AGCAUUAAAUGUUUGCUAGACCACUAUUUUUUGCUUCUAUUCGCUGUGGACUGCUUAGAAAGAACCUGGGAGACCUCCAAACUACACAAUGCCCUGAGGCUUCUAUGAAAGGAAAUGCGGUGCCUGAAAAAUUCCUGUAAGACAAGCACCA
rnacentral:lncRNA from 1 species